UACGUAGGCAGCAAGCGUUGUUCGGAAUUACUGGGCGUAAAGAGUUCGUAGGCGGUGUGCCAAGUUUGGUGUGAAAUCUCCCGGCUCAACUGGGAGGGUGCGCCGAAUACUGGCAUGCUCGAGUACAGGAGAGGAAAGCGGAAUUUCUGGUGUAGCGGUGAAAUGCGUAGAUAUCAGAAGGAACACCUGUGGUGUAGACGGCUUUCUGGACUGUAACUGACGCUGAGGAACGAAAGCGUGGGUAGCAAACAGG
rnacentral:rRNA from 1 species